GGGCUUAACACAUGCAAGUCGAACGGAAUCCAUGGAGCUUGCUCCGGAAGAUUUAGUGGCGAACGGGUGAGGAACACGUGAGGAACCUGCCCCGAACUUUGGGAUAACAGUUGGAGACUUCAGCUAAUACCGGAUAAGCCCUUACGGGGAAAGAUUUAUCGCCAAAAGAUCGGCCCGCGUCUGAUUAGCUAGUUGGUGAGGUAAUGGCUCACCAAGGCGACGAUCAGUAGCUGGUCUGAGAGGAUGACCAGCCUCACUGGGACUGAGACACGGCCCAGACUCCUACGGGAGGCAGCGGUGGGGAAUAUUGGACAAUGGGCGAAAGCCUGAUCCAGCCAUGCCGCGUGAGUGAUGAAGGCCUUAGGGUUGUAAAGCUCUUUUACCCGGGAAGAUAAUGACGGUACCGGGAGAAUAAGCCCCGGCUAACUUCGUGCCAGCCGCCGCGGUAA
rnacentral:rRNA from 1 species